ACUCUAGUAGUUUAAUAAAAAACAUUGGUCUUGUAAACCAAAAACUGAAGACUACACCCUUCUUAGAAUA
rnacentral:tRNA from 1 species